UCUUCGGUGGCUUAGUGGUUAGAGCGUUGGACUUGUGAUUCGGGGGUUGCGGGUUCGAGUCCUGCUCGAGGAG